rnacentral:rRNA from 2 species
GGACUACCCGGGUUUCUAAUCCUGUUUGCUCCCCACGCUCUCGCGCCUCAGCGUCAGUAUUUGUCCAGGUAGCCGCCUUCGCCACUGGUGUUCCUUCCGAUCUCUACGCAUUUCACCGCUACACCGGAAAUUCCACUACCCUCUACAAUACUCCAGUUAUCCAGUAUGAGAUGCAGUUCCUAGGUUAAGCCCAGGGAUUUCACAUCUCACUUAAAUAACCGCCUACGCGCCCUUUACGCCCAGUAACUCCGAUUAACGCUUGCACCCUCUGUAUUACCGCGGCGGCUGGCAC